rnacentral:rRNA from 1 species
GACGAACGCUGGCGGCGUGCUUAACACAUGCAAGUCGAACGGAAAGGCCCUGCUUUUGUGGGGUGCUCGAGUGGCGAACGGGUGAGUAACACGUGAGUAACCUGCCCUUGACUUUGGGAUAACUUCAGGAAACUGGGGCUAAUACCGGAUAGGGGCUCCUGCUGCAUGGUGGGGGUUGGAAAGUUUCGGCGGUGGGGGAUGGACUCGCGGCUUAUCAGCUUGUUGGUGGGGUAGUGGCUUACCAAGGCUUUGACGGGUAGCCGGCCUGAGAGGGUGACCGGCCACAUUGGGACUGAGAUACGGCCCAGACUCCUACGGGAGGCAGCAGUGGGGAAUAUUGCACAAUGGGCGGAAGCCUGAUGCAGCAACGCCGCGUGCGGGAUGACGGCCUUCGGGUUGUAAACCGCUUUCGCCUGUGACGAAGCGUGAGUGACGGUAAUGGGUAAAGAAGCACCGGCUAACUACGUG